rnacentral:tRNA from 1 species
GCCUGGAUGGCUCAGUCAGUGGAGCAUUUGACUUGGGCUCAGGUCACGAUCUCACGAUUCGUGGGUUCAAGCCCCACACUGGGCU